AGUAUUAAAGGUGCCGCCUGCCCAGUGACUCAAACGGCCGCGGGAUCCUCCACCGUGCAAAGGUAGCAUAAUCACUUGUCCCCUAAAUAGAGACUAGUAUGAAUGGCCUAAUGAAGAUUUACCUGUCUCUUGUAGUCAAUCUAUUAAACUGAUCUUUCAGUACAAAAGCUGAAAUAAAAACACAAGACGAAAAGACCCUGUGGAACUUAAGCCAAAAGCUUUUAGUUGGGGCAACUUUGGAAAAAAACCAAACUUCCAAUAUAGACAUGCCAGCCCAGUACUGAUCAAAGAAACAAGCUACCCCAGGGAUAACAGCGCCAUCCCCUCUUAGAGUCCCCAUCGACGAGCGGGGUUUACGACCUCGAUGUUGGAUCAGGGCACCCAAGCAGUGCAGCAGCUGCUAAAGGUUUGUUUGUUCAACAAUUAAUGCCCUACGCGAUCUGAGUUAAGACCGGAGCAAUCCA
rnacentral:rRNA from 1 species